AUUUAUUUUGCAGGUUUUUCAGUUGUGCAGUAUAAUAUGUAGCUAUACUAGCAGCACUGUUUCAAUCUUUGACAAAAUAACAUUCAGAACUUUUUACCAGUUUACAUUCAGUGAAUUCCCAGAAUGAUAAUAAUCCUCCUCCUGGAACUGGAUGGUGUCAUGCCAGUGUGAAGGCAGGCUUGGUAUGAUGGACCCAAGAGCGGGACUCACAGAGGCACAGGUGAACUCAAAACCCUCGGCUUUAUUCUGGGAUUGCAGACUGAACAACGAACUAGUGAUGUGUCCUGUGUGUCGAAGCUUUAAAGCCUGUGUUGGGUAAUCUCGGGGGCGUUUUUGUGAAGCGCGUAUCGACGCUUGCUUUCAUUACGUAUGCAGUGACAUUCGAGGCCUCGCGGGCAGUCCGUACCACGUGACUGAUUCAGGAACUGGUUUGCCGGUUUGCGUCAGAUUCCAAAUAAAAUGGGCAGCAAAACACAGCUGAUUCCCAUUACAUUGUGUUGUGGAAUUGGAUUACGUACGUGCUACAUAGUUACUUGAGCAUUUCCUCUCUCGAUGGAACCAGCAAGGAAAAGAAAAUUUUCCCCGGUCUGGCAACAUUUCGAUCUCAUCUCUCCUAAUAAGGUGAAGUGUUUGCUGUGCUCCAAAGAACUUGGAUACAGCAACAACACCUCAUCUAUGCUGAGGCAUUGCAGAGCCCUGCAUGAGAACAAGGAGACUAACCAAGGUGGACCAAGCUCAGGGAGAGGAAUGAUGUGGAUGAGGCCUUGCU